rnacentral:misc_RNA from 1 species
AUAACUUAGACUAACCAUAAGACCUGCAUGUUAAUAGGUGCAUACACAUGCUACCUGCAUUGGAUUAAACAUCGACAUUAAAUGAUCACAUCACAAUCUGAGUGUGACCGAGAGAGAAUUGAUGCAAGAAUCAAGAGAGCAUCUUCGCCUUUUCGUCUUCCAAAAGUUUCAGCUCCUCACGCCACCCAUCCACCCUUGCCAUCUUCUCGGUCUGCUCCGCCUUCGUAUGUUGUUGGUCACCUUUGACUUGCGCAUCUGCAAGCCGAAUCUUCUUUUUUAGAGCACGGAUUCUCUUCUCAAGAUCUGGACCAGAAUCCCCA